rnacentral:miRNA from 1 species
CCUAUCCUCGACUACUUGGGUU